rnacentral:rRNA from 1 species
GUCCACGCUGUAAACGAUGAGUGCUAGACGUUGGGGCCCUUAGGGUUUCAGUGUCGCAGCUAACGCAUUAAGCACUCCGCCUGGGGAGUACGGCCGCAAGGUUAAAAACUCAAAGGAAUUGACGGGGGCCCGCACAAGCGGUGGAGCAUGUGGUUUAAUUCGAAGCAACGCGCAGAACCUUACCAGCUCUUGACAUCUUCUGACCGGUACGGAGACGUACUUUCCCUUCGGGACGGAAAGACAGGUGCUGCAUGGCUGUCGU